rnacentral:rRNA from 1 species
UACGUAGGGGGCUAGCGUUGUCCGGAAUCAUUGGGCGUAAAGCGCGUGUAGGCGGUCCGGUAAGUCCGCUGUGAAAGUCGGGGGCUCAACCCUCGGAUGCCGGUGGAUACUGUCGGGCUUGAGUACGGAAGAGGCGAGUGGAAUUCCUGGUGUAGCGGUGAAAUGCGCAGAUAUCGUCCAGAACACCGACAGCGAAGGCAGCUUACUAAGGAGUAACUGACGCUGAGGCACGAAAGUGUGGGGAUCAAACAGG